CUUUAGCACAGUGCCGCCCUCUGAGGAGUGACUAAUGAUUAAAACAUCCAGAUGAGGACACCUCAGCUCUAAACAGCCAGUGGUGAGCCAUCCACUCACAGUCCUGAUUGGCUUUUUUCCCCCUGUGUUGACAUUUAAUCCUUAAAUUUUAUUCCAAUGGCUCCAAACUUCAAACUCUUCUCACUCAUUUGGCUAGUUGCAGCCUGUCUUGCCAUCCUUUCCUCAAGCAACAACUGAAGCUGAUGUGUGUCCAUCCACAGCACCUCAAGCGACAUCAGCUGCUGAUGGUACACCAGUCCCAUCACCUCAAG